rnacentral:lncRNA from 1 species
GAGUAGCUGCUGCCUUGGCAGGAACUAAUGGGGAUCCAUAAUAAACCCCAGGAAGAGUAGCUGCUGCCUUGGCAGGAACUAAUGGGGAUCCAUAAUAAACCCCAGGAAGAGUAGCUGCUGCCUUGACAGGAACUAAUGGGGAUCCAUAAUAGACCCCAGGAAGAGUAACUGCUGCCUUGGCAGGAACUAAUGGGGAUCCAUUAUAAACCCCAGGAAGAGUAGCUGCUGCCUUGGCAGGAACUAAUGGGGAUCCAUAAUAAAGACAAAUACAUCCUGGCCCUCCAGUCCAAUCUUGUUGCUCUUGUGAAUGGAAGCCAAAUUGUCCAAAAACUAUUUAUUUUCUGUGAAUCGAUCAGAUUCUCAGAAAUAUCAUCCUUCAAGAUGAAGCUGCAUCUGAUUGGCCGUGGUGUAUUCUGUUAAAUUAAUUUAAGAACGUUUGAUUUUUCAAGUUUGAAUGUGAUGUAGCUAGUUGCAUAAACGUUGACACAAAUCAUCUUCCACUCUUACAGUAAGUACAGGUCCAGUGUAUAAACUUGAGUUCACAUAGCUAGCUCCAGUAAAUCACAGCGUGUAUCAUUUGGUUUACAGAUAGCGUAUGAGAGAGUGGGUAUUUAGUAUUCCGUCUUAAAACAACACUGAUAGACUUCACAGGGAUCAGAUCUGACCAGAUCAUAACAGAUCUGACCAGAUCACACCAGAUCUGACCAGAUAACACCAGAUCUGACCAGAUCACACCAGAUCAUAACAGAUCUAACCAGAUCUGACCAGAUCACACCAGAUCACUCCAGAUCAUACCAGAUCUGACCAGAUCACACCAGAUCACACCAGAUCACACCAGAUCACACCAGAUCACACCAGAUCACACCAGAUCUGACCAGAUCUGACCAAAGAAUUCUGACAAACAUCAGUAGUUUGCUCAUUUAAAUAAAUUAAUUUUAGUCUAGUGGUUCCUAAAAAAUAAAGUUAGAUAUUGCAAUCCUGCUUCAGUUGAUUCAUGCCAGAAGAUCAUAAUGUGCU